GCGGCUUCCUCAGUCCGUUUCCGACGCGGAUUGGGGUGACAGCGGCGCUGAGAAGGGUCAUGAGAUGUAGGACUAUAAUUCUUCCCUGAAAGAAGUUGCUCUUCAGAUUGCACGUCAGAAUCCAGGUUGCUCGAUGCUCAUGGUGAUUGCAAAGGUUAUUGAUUAUGCUGGAAUGUGUUCUACAAAUACAUCAACAACAUACAUUCAUUCAUGAGGAGAGACAUUGAAUGCAGGUAGCCCGAUUAAUCCUGACCUCACUUGAUACCUACUUGAGGCCACUUUAUAGGAGCAAUUAGAUGUUGGAUGUCUUGUGUAUCUCUCCCGCCAUGAGUCAACUAUGCUGUGACUAUGAUACCCCGUGCCAAUACCCAGACUAAGCUUACCUAAAACAAAACAAACAAGGGUUCAAAUUUGGAAUAGGGUGUGACGAAAGAUGCAAAGGUCCUUGUCACAGUUCAUCCCCAGCAGCUGCGUAACAGAGGAUUCUCUGAUCUACGGGCUGUUCCCAGGGACACACACAGAGACGAACAUCAACUGCUGCUGGAACGUCAUCAACUCAGUGAAAGACGCCCUUUGGUCUGCCCGAAACAUGUUGGUCUUCCAGCACUGCAAGAUGUCCGUAGGGGAAUGCUGCCGACUGGCACAUUCCAGGCUCCAGGAGUACGUGCUGAGGGACAAACUGAAGCUGGGUGCUGCCAAUGCAAGGCUCAGUGGGGAAGGACUACAGUUUAGGGUUCUUCUGCCACUGGAGAGGGAGGGGUGGGGUCAGGCGAGGAAGCCCCUUAAA